GUAACAUUUUAAUUAUUUAACCUACAAGCUGACAAGAUUUUGGUUUAGAUUGCAUGUGAAGAAUGUCUUGGGUAAAGCCAGGCCGCCAGGUGCUUCGGACGGGCUUUACCUCUAGUCGCUCACUUAAACUGCUGAUCUUAAAUAUGGCAGCCUGGAGAGUUAUAAGUAUAUACCAAGAUCGAUUUCAGUAGGAGGAUCUAUCGAUAAUUUCAAUAACGGUUUCAAGUGGAGCAGCUAUCAAUAACAAUAACAACAAUAAUACUUAAAUUAAUAAUAAUAAUAAUAAUUGACACGUAAUUUUCGAUUUAAUAACAUUUCAAUAAUAUUUAAAGUACUCUGUAACUUAAUUGUGCAGCAUACCCUUUAAUUGGCAUUUGCAUUGGCUAUAUAUACCCUAUAACAAAGGCAGAGACGAGAACAAAGCCAAACAGAAAUAGAAAUGGAAAAGAACUGGCCUCGUCUGCGCCCGGCUAUUGGGAUUGGAACUGGGUCUCGGUCUCUGCCGCCUGCCAAACGGACACAUAAUGAAGUUUCGCAAUCUCGUUGACUGUGCGAAUGGGCAGACGCCAUGUCUGCCCGUGACGUCUAACUGUAGGAGU